rnacentral:rRNA from 1 species
CCUACGGGAGGCAGCAGUGGGGGAUAUUGCACAAUGGGGGAAACCCUGAUGCAGCGACGCCGCGUGGGCGAAGAAGUAUUUCGGUAUGUAACGCCCUAUCAGCAGGGAAGAAGAAAUGACGGUACCUGAGUAAGAAGCACCGGCUAAAUACGUGCCAGCAGCCGCGGUAAUACGUAUGGUGCAAGAGUUAUCCGGAUUUACUGGGUGGAAAGGGAGCGCAGGCGGCACGGCAAGCCUGAUGUGAAAGCCCGCGGCCCAACCGCGGGACUGCAUUGGGAACUACCGGGCUGGAGUGCCGGAGAGGUAGGCGGAAUUCCUAGUGUAGCGGUGAAAUGCGUAGAUAUUAGGAGGAACACCAGUGGCGAAGGCGGCCUACUGGACGGUGACUGACGCUGAGGCUCGAAAGCGUGGGGAGCAAACAGGAUUAGAUACCCCAGUAGUC